rnacentral:rRNA from 1 species
GAUGAACGCUGGCGGCGUGCCUAAUACAUGCAAGUCGAACGAACAGACGAGGAGCUUGCUCCUCUGACGUUAGCGGCGGACGGGUGAGUAACACGUGGAUAACCUACCUAUAAGACUGGGAUAACUUCGGGAAACCGGAGCUAAUACCGGAUAACAUGUUGAACCGCAUGGUUCAACAGUGAAAGACGGUCUUGCUGUCACUUAUAGAUGGAUCCGCGCCGCAUUAGCUAGUUGGUAAGGUAACGGCUUACCAAGGCAACGAUGCGUAGCCGACCUGAGAGGGUGAUCGGCCACACUGGAACUGAGACACGGUCCAGACUCCUACGGGAGGCAGCAGUAGGGAAUCUUCCGCAAUGGGCGAAAGCCUGACGGAGCAACGCCGCGUGAGUGAAGAAGGUCUUCGGAUCGUAAAACUCUGUUAUUAGGGAAGACCAAAUGUGUAAGUAACUAUGCACGUCUUGACGGUACCUAAUCAGAAAGCCACGGCUAACUACGUG